rnacentral:rRNA from 1 species
AACGAACGCUGGCGGCAGGCCUAACACAUGCAAGUCGAGCGAGCAUUUCGGUGCUAGCUGCGGACGGGUGAGUAACGCGUGGGAACGUGCCCUUUUCUGCGGAAUAGUCCUGGGAAACUGGGGGUAAUACCGCAUACGCCCUUUUGGGGAAAGAUUUAUCGGGGAAGGAUCGGCCCGCGUUGGAUUAGGUAGUUGGUGGGGUAAUGGCCCACCAAGCCGACGAUCCAUAGCUGGUUUGAGAGGAUGAUCAGCCACACUGGGACUGAGACACGGCCCAGACUCCUACGGGAGGCAGCAGUGGGGAAUCUUAGACAAUGGGGGCAACCCUGAUCUAGCCAUGCCGCGUGAGUGAUGAAGGCCUUAGGGUUGUAAAGCUCUUUCAGCUGGGAAGAUAAUGACGGUACCAGCAGAAGAAGCCCCGGCUAACUCCGUG